rnacentral:lncRNA from 1 species
AUAACUAUUCACAUCAAAACGGAGAUCUCAAAAGAAGACAAAAACUUAGAUGAACUAGGCCGUACUCAAGGCCUCUCUCAGAAUUGUCUUCUUCUUCCAAAAAUCCUUUUCUUCAUAUCUCACCUCCGAGUUCUCCUUCUCGGAUUCCUCCUCCUCAGCUCUUCAGCGGGGUCCUGAAAUGGUUUUCCCUAAACUGGGAUGAGACUACGUCUCAGCGAGUUCUACCCCACUAAGCCCGAUUAGUAAACCAUUAUACUAAAGGCUGCCUAAACACGCACAGGGCAGAUGACUUACCUUGGUCUCAGAUCCCACAUGCAAGUUAGUACAAUUCACAAUAGGCACCCAUUUACUUCAAACAAAUCGAAUCAGUCGAUUACAUGUCAUACAAUUCAAUCCCCACUGUGGAAUAUUUAAAAGCUAGGCCACGUGCAUUCUCCAGGAUGACCUUCCAAGUCUCCGAGCCACGUGCCUCAAACCUUGAACCCACGUGCAUUCUCUAAGGCGACCUCUUCGCCAAGGUGGUACAUCAAGCCACCAAGCCACAUGUCCUUUUUAUGAUGCCCGGGCCCACAUGCAUUCUCUAAGGUACUCGCUUACCAAAGUGACGCAUCAGAUCACCAAGCCACGUGCCCUUUUAGAUGCCAUUCCGAAUACUGGACCCACGUACAUUCUCUAAGGUACUCGCUUACCAAAGUGACGCAUCAGAUCACCGAGCCACGUGUCCUUUUAGAUGCCUGGGCCCACGUGCAUUCUCUUAGGUGCUCUCUCACCAAAGUGAUGCAUCAAUUCACCGAGCCACGUGCCCUUUUAGAUGCCAAACUCUGUCACCGAGUCACGUGUAUUCUCCAGGACGACAUACCGAGUCUCCAAGCCAUGUGCAUUCUCUCAGGCGACCUUUUCGCCAAGGUGACAUAUUCAACCACUGAACUCACGUGCAUUCUCCAGGUGACAUUCCAAUUCACCGAGCCCACGUGUCCUCUUUCGAGUGGUUACCAAUUUACUUUUAAUAUCGACAACCAAUGCCAACGAUUUCUCAAUCAAAUAAUUAAAUCAACUCAACAAAGCAUUAUAAAUACUGAAUAACAUACUUGGCCAUUUACCGAUCAACAAUUCAAUAUCAAUCAAUUCCAAUCAAUUUAGGGUAAAUCCCUAAAAUAUCACAAUUUAUUCAAUUACAUACAACGUGGAGCUCAAAUAAAUAAACAGACUGCGCCACGACGAUCAGCACGAGAUUUCGGUCGUCAGCCAUCAAAAUCUUAAUUUCCGAAAAUUAAUUAAUUAAUUAAUUAAUUAAUUAAUUAAUUUCGAAAAUUAAUUAUUAAUUACUAAAAAUUCAAUUUAGCUCAAAAUAAAGCCCGAUUAAAUAAAUGGACUUCACCACGGUCAUCAGCAUAAUUUUCCGGUUCCAGUCCAUCUCAGUUGAAUUUUCGGAAAAUAAAUAAUUAUUUAAUUUAAUUCCGAAAAUUAACAUUUAAAUACUAAAAAAAUCCACUUAGGCCCGAAAAGCCUAAUUGAAGCCCACUAAGGGUCGGGAAAAUUUCCGAGGCACUUCCAAUAAAUAGUAGACCACGUCUACUUGCUAAUUACACAUUCAAUUUAUCUAAUUUGCAUCACAAUUGACUAAUAAUUGCUAAUUUAAUCUAAUCUAACAACCUAAAUAUAAUUAAUUAAAUCUAAACCAAUAUUAAGCAUAAUUAGCCACUAAUCUUGGAUUAGUGAGAUUACUCACCAAAUCGCGCGCAAAUCGGAUCAAUCCGACGGCGGCGACGGGAGGAACGAUUGUUCCCAAAGCACGGCUCGGGUUUGGGG